CGGGAGGCAGCAGUGGGGAAUAUUGCACAAUGGGCGGAAGCUGAUGCAGCAACGCCGCGUGAGGGAUGACGGCUUUCGGGUUGUAAACCUCUUUUAGCAGGGAAGAAGCGAGAGUGACGGUACCUGCAGAAAAAGCACCGGCUAACUACGUGCCAGCAGCCGCGGUAAUACGUAGGGUGCAAGCGUUAUCCGGAAUUAUUGGGCGUAAAGAGCUCGUAGGCGGUCUGUCGCGUCUGCUGUGAAAUCCCGAGGCUCAACCUCGGGCUUGCAGUGGGUACGGGCAGACUAGAGUGCGGUAGGGGAGAUUGGAAUUCCUGGUGUAGCGGUGGAAUGCGCAGAUAUCAGGAGGAACACCGAUGGCGAAGGCAGAUCUYUGGGCCGUAACUGACGCUGAGGAGCGAAAGGGUGGGGAGCAAACAGGCUUAGAUACCCUGGUAGUCCACCCCGUAAACGUUGGGAACUAGUUGUGGGGUCCUUUCCACGGAUUCCGUGACGCAGCUAACGCAUUAAGUUCCCCGCCUGGGGAGUACGGCCGCAAGGCUAAAACUCAAAGGAAUUGACGGGGACCCGCACAAGCGGCGGAGCMUGCGGAUUAAUUCGAUGCAACGCGAAGAACCUUACCAAGGCUUGACAUACACGAGAACGCCCUAGAAAUAGGGAACUCUUUGGACACUCGUGAACAGGUGGUGCAUGGUGUCGUCAGCUCGUGUC
rnacentral:rRNA from 1 species